CCUACGGGAGGCAGCAGUGAGGAAUAUUGGUCAAUGGACGAGAGUCUGAACCAGCCAAGUAGCGUGAAGGAUGACUGCCCUAUGGGUUGUAAACUUCUUUUAUAAAGGAAUAAAACGAGGCACGUGUGCCUUUUUGCAUGUACUUUAUGAAUAAGGAUCGGCUAACUCCGUGCCAGCAGCCGCGGUAAUACGGAGGAUCCGAGCGUUAUCCGGAUUUAUUGGGUUUAAAGGGAGCGUAGAUGGGUUGUUAAGUCAGUUGUGAAAGUUUGCGGCUCAACCGUAAAAUUGCAAUUGAUACUGGCAGUCGUGAGUACAGUUGAGGUAGGUGGAAGUCGUGGUGUAGCGGUGAAAUGCUUAGAUAUCACGAAGAACCCCGAUUGCGAAGGCAGCUUACUAAACUGUGACUGACAUUGAUGCUCGAAAGUGUGGGUAUCAAACAGGAUUAGAUACCCCUGUAGUC
rnacentral:rRNA from 1 species